ACAUUACACCAUCUGCUGGUCCCCAAUGGAUAAAUUACUCUUAAAGAAGAAAAGGAAUCCUAGAUAGUUUUCCCUUCAAUCAAGUAUCUUGU
rnacentral:pre_miRNA from 1 species